UACGUAGGGUGCGAGCGUUGUCCGGAAUUAUUGGGCGUAAAGAGCUCGUAGGCGGUUUGUCGCGUCGACUGUGAAAACCCGAGGCUUAACCUCGGGCCUGCAGUCGAUACGGGCAGACUAGAGUUCGGUAGGGGAGACUGGAAUUCCUGGUGUAGCGGUGAAAUGCGCAGAUAUCAGGAGGAACACCGGUGGCGAAGGCGGGUCUCUGGGCCGAUACUGACGCUGAGGAGCGAAAGCUAGGGGAGCGAACAGG
rnacentral:rRNA from 1 species